AGUGAACGCUGGCGGUAGGCCUAACACAUGCAAGUCGAACGGCAGCACAGUAAGAGCUUGCUCUUACGGGUGGCGAGUGGCGGACGGGUGAGGAAUACAUCGGAAUCUACUUUUUCGUGGGGGAUAACGUAGGGAAACUUACGCUAAUACCGCAUACGACCUACGGGUGAAAGCAGGGGAUCUUCGGACCUUGCGCGAUUGAAUGAGCCGAUGUCGGAUUAGCUAGUUGGCGGGGUAAAGGCCCACCAAGGCGACGAUCCGUAGCUGGUCUGAGAGGAUGAUCAGCCACACGGGAACUAGGACACGGUCCAGACUCCUACGGGAGGCAGCAGUGGGGAAUAUUGGACAAGGGGCGCAAGCCGGAUCCAGCCAUACCGCGUGGGUGAAGAAGGCCUUCGGGUUGUAAAGCCCUUUUGUGGGGAAAGAAAAGCAGCAGGUUAAUACCCCGCUGUUCUGACGGUACCCAAAGAAUAAGCACCGGCCAACUUCGU
rnacentral:rRNA from 1 species